rnacentral:rRNA from 1 species
UGGGGAAUAUUGGACAAUGGGCGAAAGCCUGAUCCAGCCAUGCCGCGUGUGUGAAGAAGGUCUUCGGAUUGUAAAGCACUUUAAGUUGGGAGGAAGGGCAUUAACCUAAUACGUUAGUGUUUUGACGUUACCGACAGAAUAAGCACCGGCUAACUCUGUGCCAGCAGCCGCGGUAAUACAGAGGGUGCAAGCGUUAAUCGGAAUUACUGGGCGUAAAGCGCGCGUAGGUGGUUUGUUAAGUUGGAUGUGAAAUCCCCGGGCUCAACCUGGGAACUGCAUUCAAAACUGACUGACUAGAGUAUGGUAGAGGGUGGUGGAAUUUCCUGUGUAGCGGUGAAAUGCGUAGAUAUAGGAAGGAACACCAGUGGCGAAGGCGACCACCUGGACUAAUACUGACACUGAGGUGCGAAAGCGUGUGGAGCAAACA